GGCUUCAUAGCUCAGCUGGUAGGGCGCUUUUGGGCAUGGUGUUUCUGUCGCUGGUUCGAAUCCUGCCGAAGCCC